rnacentral:rRNA from 1 species
UACGUAGGGGGCAAGCGUUGUCCGGAUUUAUUGGGCGUAAAGAGCGUGUAGGCGGCUUGUCACGUCUGCUGUGAAAACUCGGGGCUCAACCCCGAGCCUGCAGUGGAUACGGGCUAGCUAGAGUGCGGUAGGGGAGACUGGAAUUCCUGGUGUAGCGGUGAAAUGCGCAGAUAUCAGGAGGAACACCGGUGGCGAAGGCGGCUCUCUAGUACGGUACUGACGCUGAGACGCGAAAGCGUGGGGAGCGAACAGG